rnacentral:lncRNA from 1 species
CUCUCUCUCCACACCUGCCCGCAAGCUGAAGGAGCCAGCUCCAGUCUCAGCCAGCCCAGGAAGCGGCUCCCACAGUGCAGCGGCGGGCUGAAGCGCUCCUCAAGUGCCGCCAAAGUGGGAGCCCAGGCAGAGGAGGCGCCGAGAGCGGGCGAGGGCCGCAAGGGCUGCCAGCAUGCUGUCAUCUCUCAAGAGCUCCCUCAGAGGCCUAUGUAAGGCCCUACCUCCUUCUGAAAAUACAUUUCUUAAGUACUGUACUAUGAAGCAAAUACUACAUGAAGACUAAACAACGGUUAUAUUAAUAUGAUUCUGAAAUCAGGUGAAGUUACUAACCAAGAAUGAAAUAAACCUACCAGAAAUAAAAAAUAGUGCAAAAAAUCUUUUAAGAAACUUGGUUAAAUAAUAUUAUUUUAAGGAAAACAGGCACAGUUGUAAAGCUUCAGCAAUGUUUUAAAAAAGUGUUAACAUUUCUUUAUUGUCUCUUUAUUAUUUCUCCCACUGUUUGCACCUCAGCCUCCUUAAAAGUAGCAAUUCUAUCUAGGCUUUAAUUUGCUGUAUACAGAUAAAUAUAUAUGAUUAACAACAAUAUUAUUGGGCUAGAAUAACCCCUGUUUUCUCUUUAAUCUAAAAAUCCACUGACUGACGUGAACAAUAGCAACAGAGAAAAAUCAGUUGGCCUAUGAACCUUUGCAACCAGGAUCUGCAUUGUGAAUGCUGUGUAGUGUGUGUCAUUU